rnacentral:rRNA from 1 species
GACGUAGGGCGCGAGCGUUGUCCGGAUUUAUUGGGCGUAAAGAGCUCGUAGGCGGCUUGUCACGUCGACUGUGAAAACCCGCGGCUCAACUGCGGGCCUGCAGCCGAUACGGGCAGGCUAGAGUUCGGUAGGGGAGACUGGAAUUCCUGGUGUAGCGGUGAAAUGCGCAGAUAUCAGGAAGAACACCCGUGGCGAAGGCGGUUCUCUGGGACGGUACUGACGCUGAGACGCGAAAGCGUGGGGAGCGAACAGG